CAUGCAAGUCGAGCGGACAGAAGGGAGCUUGCUCCCGGAUGUUAGCGGCGGACGGGUGAGUAACACGUGGGUAACCUGCCUGUAAGACUGGGAUAACUCCGGGAAACCGGAGCUAAUACCGGAUAGUUCCUUGAACCGCAUGGUUCAAGGAUGAAAGACGGUUUCGGCUGUCACUUACAGAUGGACCCGCGGCGCAUUAGCUAGUUGGUGAGGUAACGGCUCACCAAGGCGACGAUGCGUAGCCGACCUGAGAGGGUGAUCGGCCACACUGGGACUGAGACACGGCCCAGACUCCUACGGGAGGCAGCAGUAGGGAAUCUUCCGCAAUGGACGAAAGUCUGACGGAGCAACGCCGCGUGAGUGAUGAAGGUUUUCGGAUCGUAAAGCUCUGUUGUUAGGGAAGAACAAGUGCAAGAGUAACUGCUUGCACCUUGACGGUACCUAACCAGAAAGCCACGGCUAACUACGUGCCAGCAGCCGCGGUAAUACGUAGGUGGCAAGCGUUGUCCGGAAUUAUUGGGCGUAAAGGGCUCGCAGGCGGUUUCUUAAGUCUGAUGUGAAAGCCCCCGGCUCAACCGGGGAGGGUCAUUGGAAACUGGGAAACUUGAGUGCAGAAGAGGAGAGUGGAAUUCCACGUGUAGCGGUGAAAUGCGUAGAGAUGUGGAGGAACACCAGUGGCGAAGGCGACUCUCUGGUCUGUAACUGACGCUGAGGAGCGAAAGCGUGGGGAGCGAACAGGAUUAGAUACCCUGGUAGUCCACGCCGUA
rnacentral:rRNA from 1 species